AGCAAGAUUAUGGAAACCCCUUGAAUAUCUGCACAGACGAGCAAUCAUCACCAUUUUUAUAUGGAACUGUGUGAGAGAGAUGUCCAGGGACACGCGGGCCCGAUCCCCCCUUCCCCCCACCCCUCAGAAGAACUUUCCCUGCAUAGCAACGAGGAGUGGGAGCCGACCCAGGAGGAGGAUACGACCGACCAGGCAUGCAGUGACCAGCCGUGGUAAUCAAGGGACCAAAUGGAGAAGUCAAAGAAAAAGAAAAAGCCUAGAAAGGCAAGAAGCCAGCCAGAGGAGCAGUCGGAGGAGGAAGCCUCUGGUGAAGAUGCAGGACCGAAGAAGCCGCGUGGACCCAGAUACACUGAGGCGGAAAACUGUGCCCUAGUGGAUGGCGUCGACAGGUCCUACGACGUUCUGUAUGGACCAAGGGCACAGACCACAGCAGCUAAGACCAAGCGAAACAUCUGGGAUGCCAUCAUGAGACAAGUCACUGCAGUAUCUGGAAACCGCCGGAUCACCAGAAACUGCAUGAAGCGGUACAGUGAUUGCCGCAGACAGACCAAGAAAAAGAUGGGGAUUCAGCGCCGACAUGAGACAGCUACGGGAGGUGGUCCGGCUCUCAAUCUGAAGUGGCUUCCCUGGGAGGAAGUUAUUAAAAGGCGCAUGAACCCUGCCAUGGUCGAAGGAGUUCGCGGAGGUGUGGACUCUAGCCAUCCUGCUGGCUUUCCCGAGGAGGAAGAACCACCCAGAAGACGGAAGACGGCGGGAGACAAGCAGUCCAAAAGGAGGC